UAAAAAAAUAAAAAUAAAAAAAAAUCAAUCUACAACCUAAAAAAUGAAAAAGCAGAAAACCCCAACUGAGCUUCAAAAGCCACGUAAACUACCAAAACAAAACUCCAAUUACAUACAAGAAUCAAACGAAUAAACGUACUCUGAAUUAAACGAAACGCAGCUAGAUAACUUCGUUACAAUUGGAAGCAUCUAAACCCUAAAAAAUUGAAGUAACAAAAAAAAAACGAUACCCAUGAAAGACUGAAUGCCCGCGUUCUAGAGAGCCCUAGUCAAUCUGCCGCCGUGAAGGCUGAUAGUGUUAGAGCACAAACAACAGCAGGCUAACGAGCGAGGGAGAGAGAUAGGUUUAUUUGGUUUCGUAUAAUCCUAUUGGCUGAUGGCUAGGGAUUGAGAGAGAGAGAGAGAG
rnacentral:misc_RNA from 1 species